rnacentral:rRNA from 1 species
GCUUCGGCUCCGGCGCAAAGAGAGGCCCAAGUGAGAUUAGCUAGUUGGUAAGGUAACGGCUUACCAAGGCGACGAUCUCUAGCUGUUCUGAGAGGAAGAUCAGCCACACUGGGACUGAGACACGGCCCAGACUCCUACGGGAGGCAGCAGUGGGGAAUAUUGCACAAUGGGGGAAACCCUGAUGCAGCCAUGCCGCGUGUGUGAAGAAGGCCUUCGGGUUGUAAAGCACUUUCAGUUGUGAGGAAAAGUUAGUAGUUAAUACCUGCUAGCCGUGACGUUAACAACAGAAGAAGCACCGGCUAACUCCGUGCCAGCAGCCGCGGUAAUACGGAGGGUGCGAGCGUUAAUCGGAAUUACUGGGCGUAAAGCGCACGCAGGCGGUUUGUUAAGCUAGAUGUGAAAGCCCCGGGCUCAACCUGGGAUGGUCAUUUAGAACUGGCAGACUAGAGUCUUGGAGAGGGGAGUGGAAUUCCAGGUGUAGCGGUGAAAUGCGUAGAUAUCUGGAGGAACAUCAGUGGCGAAGGCGACUCCCUGGCCAAAGACUGACGCUCAUGUGCGAAAGUGUGGGUAGCGAACAGGAUUAGAUACCCUGGUAGUCCACACCGUAAACGCUGUCUACUAGCUGUGUGUGUCUUUAAGACGUGCGUAGCGAAGCUAACGCGCUAAGUAGACCGCCUGGGGAGUACGGCCGCAAGGUUAAAACUC